rnacentral:rRNA from 1 species
GACGAACGCUGGCGGCGUGCUUAACACAUGCAAGUCGAACGGAAAGGCCCUGCUUGCAGGGUGCUCGAGUGGCGAACGGGUGAGUAACACGUGGGUGAUCUGCCCCUUACUUUGGGGUAAGCCUGGGAAACUGGGUCUAAUACUGGAUAGGACCAUGCUGUAGGUGGUGUGGUGGAAAGAUUAGUUUCGGUAAGGGAUGAGCUCGCGGCCUAUCAGCUUGUUGGUGGGGUAAUGGCCUACCAAGGCGUCGACGGGUAGCCGGCCUGAGAGGGUGGACGGCCACAUUGGGACUGAGAUACGGCCCAGACUCCUACGGGAGGCAGCAGUGGGGAAUAGUGCACAAUGGGCGCAAGCCUGAUGCAGCGACGCCGCGUGGGGGAUGACGGCCUUCGGGUUGUAAACUCCUUUCAGCCAUGACGAAGCCCUUGUGGUGACGGUAGUGGUAGAAGAAGCACCGGCUAACUACGUG